rnacentral:lncRNA from 1 species
GGAUUCCAUAGGGGCCUGAAUUUCCCUUUUGUUAUAUUAGGAUUGCCGCUUCUACAGUAGAUCUAUUCUGAAUUUUCACGAUACAAUAUUGCUUAGACGAUUGCAUGGAGAACUAAAGUUCACAAGGUUGAUCUGUUGUAAUUGGUUUUCGCCAAUACUUUGAGGUUUCUUAGCUUUCAAUCAAAUGUCUUUUCUCUUUCAUUAUUUU